rnacentral:rRNA from 1 species
UACGUAGGGGGCAAGCGUUGUCCGGAUUUAUUGGGCGUAAAGAGCGUGUAGGCGGUUAGGUAGGUCCGUUGUGAAAACUCGAGGCUCAACCUCGAGACGCCGAUGGAAACCAUCAGACUAGAGUCCGGAAGAGGAGAGUGGAAUUCCUGGUGUGGCGGUGAAAUGCGCAGAUAUCAGGAAGAACACCCGUGGCUAAGGCGGCUCUCUAGUACGGUACUGACGCUGAGACGCGAAAGCGUGGGGAGCGAACAGG